AUAUUCCAGGGGGCGUUCAUGCGCUAGGUCAGGUACACGCAAGCUGUUGGGAACAGGCACGGAUCCACGGCAGGGGCGGCUUCGCGAUUUCCUCCCAAGGGCGGAAAGUCGUCCGGAGGGCCAACCACCGACGCAUCGGCCUCUAAAAUGGCGAACUGUGGAGCGACAAUACAGACGUAUUCUGCUGAUCGCUGCUGCUCUGGGGCUUUGACGGAGCAUCUUCACCUUGA